rnacentral:rRNA from 1 species
GACGAAGGAUGCAAGCGUUAUCCGGAUUCAUUGGGUUUAAAGGGAGCGUAGGCGGAUUGGUAAGUCAGUGGUGAAAUCUGUGGGCUUAACCCACAAACUGCCAUUGAUACUGCUGAUCUAGAGUACAGUUGCCGUUGGCGGAAUAUGACAUGUAGUGGUGAAAUACUUAGAUAUGUCAUAGAACACCGGUUGCAAAGGCAGCUAACGAAGCUGUAACUGACGCUGAGGCUCGAAAGUGCGGGGAUCAAACAGG